UCCCGCUUAGCUCAGUUGGUAGAGCGCGUCACUAGUACCAUGAUUGGUGAUGACGAGGUCAGUCGUUCAAGUCGGCUAGUGGGAA